CGACCGGCGCACGGGUGAGCAACGCGUAUCCAACCUGCCUUACACUCUUGGACAGCCUUCUGAAAGGGAGAUUAAUACAAGAUGUUAUCAUGAGUAAGCAUUUUCACAUGAUUAAAGGUUUACCGGUGUAAGAUGGGGAUGCGUUCCAUUAGAUAGUAGGCGGGGUAACGGCCCACCUAGUCUUCGAUGGAUAGGGGUUCUGAGAGGAAGGUCCCCCACAUUGGAACUGAGACACGGUCCAA
rnacentral:rRNA from 1 species